UACGUAGGGGGCAAGCGUUGUCCGGAUUUAUUGGGCGUAAAGAGCGUGUAGGCGGCCAGGUAGGUCUGCUGUGAAAACUCGAGGCUUAACCUCGAGCUGUCGGCGGAAACCAUCUGGCUAGAGUCCGGAAGAGGAGAAUGGAAUUCCCGGUGUAGCGGUGAAAUGCGCAGAUAUCGGGAAGAACACCCGUGGCGAAGGCGGUUCUCUGGGACGGUACUGACGCUGAGACGCGAAAGCGUGGGGAGCGAACAGGAUUAGAUAC
rnacentral:rRNA from 1 species